CGCGAAUGGCUCAUUACAACAGCCAUAAUUCACUUGAUCUUGACACAAUCCUACUUGGAUAACUGUGGUAAUUCUAGAGCUAAUACAUGCAUUAAGGCUCUGACCUCACGGGAAGAGUGCAUUUAUUAGAACAAAACCAAGCGGCUUCGGCUGUUUUCGGUUGACUCAUAGUAACUGAGCUGAUCGCAUGGUCUUGCACCGGCGACGUGUCUUUCAAGUAUCUGCCGUAUCAACUUUCGAUGGUAGUGUAUCUGACUACCAUGGUGAUCACGCGUAACGGAGAAUAAGGGUUCGACUCCGGAGAGUUCGCCUGAGAAAUCGCGAACACAUCUAAGGAAGGCAGCAGGCGCGAAAAUUACCCACUCUCAACGCGAGGAGGUAGUGACGAGAAAUAACAAGACCGUUCUCCUACGAGGCCGGUUAUUGGAAUGGGUACAAUUUAAACCCUUUAACGAGUAUCUAUGAGAGGGCAAGUCUGGUGCCAGCAGCCGCGGUAAUUCCAGCU
rnacentral:rRNA from 1 species